rnacentral:rRNA from 1 species
UACGGAGGGUGCAAGCGUUAUCCGGAUUCACUGGGUUUAAAGGGUGCGUAGGUGGGUCUGUAAGUCAGUGGUGAAAUCUCCAAGCUUAACUUGGAACUGCCGUUGAUACUAUAGACCUUGAAUGCUGUGGAGGUGAGCGGAAUAUGUCAUGUAGCGGUGAAAUGCUUAGAUAUGACAUAGAACACCAAUUGCGAAGCAGCUCACUACCCAGAUAUUGACACUGGAGGCACGAAAGCGUGGGGAUCAAACAGG